UUAGGCAAUUUGAGGUUAUAUUAUUGAAGUCUUUAUCGUCUUUAUUAAGCGGAUUUUUAAAUCAAGUAAUGGAAAUAUGACAUUAAGUGGCGAAGAUUUAACAACAUUUACUCGAUAAUUCAUCUUCUAAUCUGCAGCAAUAUUCGAACGAAAUCAGGUAAAACAAAUAAACUCUUGGACCUAAUAAAAAUUUCGAGAUGGGGAUGUCGAAAAGUAAACGUCUGGACAGGCUUCAUGUACGAGCGGUUAACACGAUAUUCAUCUUCUCCGGAUUUUGCGCAAUUUUCCUCGGAUACAGGAUGUAUCGUUUCACGAUCAACACACGACCGUAUCUUCAAGAAAAACGGCACCAGGUUGAGCAGGAACUUCUCUCUGAAGGAAAACCUUUAGAGGAAGAUUUAUCUGCAGCAUAGUUACUAAGAAUGUACGUCUAUAAUUUCCAAUAGCCUAUCAAUUCAACAUACUGAAUUACUUUAAAAACUCGAAGCAUUUUUUCCCCGAAAAUUAUAUGAAUUCUAAUUUUUUGUUACAGUUGGUCUAGUCUGACUUUAUAAUUGCACUGAAUUGAUCAUGUAUUUUAAGAACUUGUUGAUUUAUGAAUAAAACUAUUAAAAGUCAAUAAUUA